AUGUCUGAAGCCUGAAAUGUGGCAAGAGAUUGACCAGUUCAAGGGGGCCGAGUACUUUCGCAAGGCCCUUUUUUGGCACAUUGGCUGGACAGGGUUGGCAGCUUCAAACUCUAGAUCAUAUUGUUUGGCAUCAAAGAGGAGCCAUGCGGAGGUUCUUGUUUAAAGGAAGCUGUGGUAUUUGAAUGGACAUCAGCUCCACUUUCAGUAAAGCACAAAUAUUUGAAUAAGAAGAGAAACAUGAAAGACUGCAUCAAUAGAAUAUUCACAAGUAUGUCAGCACUGUUAUUGUAACCUUGUACUAUCCUCUCCCUUUCUGCGAUAUUUGUCAAUAUGCUGCUCACUUUUUCUCCCUGGCUGAACCUCUGCUUAACGUAGUUAAUAUAUGGACACCUUCAUAUGUUCUAAACUACGUCCAUGCAUCUUUUUUUGUGUCUCCAAUGCCUCUACCGUAGCUUAAUGUGCAGCCAACUAGCCAACCAGCCUCACUUAUUGUUGUUGUCAUUAAUAAUAUGACUCAAAAUAUUCCUGAUUUAUAUUUUUUAAAAACUAUUACCAUUUUUAUAACAAAGUACUGUGAAAUCUUAGAGCCUCAUACUCAUGAAAAAGCAGGUAUAAUAUUUUAAACUAUAAAACAAAUAUUCUCAAUUUGAUUUGAUUUUUUAUCAACAUGGAUGAUGUUUUACUAUUUCUGCAGUGUUUUCUAUAAAAAAAAAUAAAUAAACAAUUGUUUUAUUUUAUUUAAAACUUUUUAUUUCAAAGUAAAGAAUAUUUUGACAUUUUUCUCUGAGUCUGUUAAGAGUUUGCCUUGCCUCACCUUCACCUGACAUGUUGCGGUGAAGUCUUGUUUAAUGUCCAUUUAAUGCUUCCAGAGAUGUUUUGUAUCAUUGAUCUACCUUGUCAUUCUGCUGCAAGCCACAUUAAGCAUCUCUGCUUAUUCAGGAAGCACCCAAUACAACUGUGCACUGAACUUGCAGCAAAAGCAGAAGGGCUAUAUACAGAGCUAAAGAAAUAUAAUAGCAAUCCAUGAGUAAAACACUUUGUAGCCACCAGCUUUGGUCACAUACAUGAAAAAAAUGAAACUCUCAUGAUGUACCAGUGAUGCGGAACUUGUUACAAAGCAGGUAUUUAGUGAUGCUUUACACUAAUUUUGCAACUGUAGCUUCUGAGUGUGUUUUUUAGAUGUACAAGAAAUUUCAGAAAGUCUCCUAUCAUGAGACAACCACAUUUAUUUGCACACCAGAUAAAAAUGUGCAAAAGGCCUUAAAUAAAUCACCUUUUUUGCAGUAGCAUAAUAUCCCCCGAAAGGUUGCAGCAGUUUUCUAUGUUAUGCAGAAUUCGUUUUACCUCCCUUACUUUCAAAUGCACUCCUCACUGUCUGUACAGACAAAAUAUACUUGAGUCUUCAUCUAGACUUGUUUAAGAUGAUUCCAGUUAAACUUUCAUAUUUUCAGAAGAAUGCACAUAUUGGCAAGUCUAGGUGAGAAGUUGUUUCUUUUUAAAUUAGUUUCUGAUUUGUGAAGAUUAACACACAUCUGUAUUGCUAAAUGAUGUACUCUUGCUUUUCCCAUUUUGAACAGUGGUUAAGAGACAGUGGCGUCAUUUUAUAUUUAUGUCAGAAGAAAACAGGAAUUUAUGUAAUACUUAAUUGUACAAUCUGUAAACUUGCUCAUUUUAAAAUGUUAAAUAAAUAAAUUAGUAAAUCUUUA